GCACUGCUGACGGGUCCCAACCAGGACGAAACAGCUGUCCAGUGC
rfam:Echinostoma caproni strain Egypt genome assembly, scaffold: ECPE_scaffold0012813